rnacentral:lncRNA from 1 species
AGGGCACUGAGUGAGGGGUCCCUGUUCCUGCAGGCCGGUGGCCGAGAGCUCCCUCUACCGACAGCGGCUGGAGGUCAUCGCCGUAAGUGACCCCGCCCGGGAACCCCAAGGCCUCCCUCCCCUGCCGGGUCCAGGGCACCCCAUAAACCCCAGCAUGCCGCCUCCAUUCUCCCGCUUUCUGCUCCCUCGGAAAGGUGGGGCUGCAGCCCGGCACGCCCAGACAUUCCCAGACACCCCAUGUCCGAGCCCCUGCCAAGCCCUGCGGCUUAGCACCCCAUCCCUGGAGCCCUCCCUAGGGACCCUUUGGCCCAGCCCUUCCGCGGACUCCGCCCCGCCUCCAUCUCGUACUCUUGUCUCUCAGCCCCCAACUCUCUGAGUUCUGCAUCACUUCCCAGCCCUCCUCUGGACCCCGAUUUCCCUGCCCCCCCAUAUUUGCACCCCCACUUCUCUGACCCCCCAAAUCUCUGAUCUGCAUCUCUGUGCCCCAUCUUUCUGUUCUCCACUUCUUCCCUGGUCUCUCCGGGGUUCUCCCAGCUGUACCCCACCUCGGACUGACACCUUCCUGCGCAUCCCCAAAUCUAGACCCCUCCCACCUCUGCGCACCGGAUCCGGGGAUCCCCUCCGACUGGAUUUCCCUACCCGAGGCUCCGCCCCCCAACCCCUCCAGGACCCCUAUUGGGCGCGGCGUGGCCUCCGCUGCCUCUCGGCCACGCCCCCUGCCCGCUGCCGCUGCUGAGUCAGCGCCUCGACGGCCCCUCCCCCUCUCAUACCCCACCCCCCAGCAGGGCUGGACCCCCGGGAGGGGAGGGGGAGGGAAGGGAAGGGGGAGAGGAGGUCCCGCCCAGCCCGCGCUCUGCGCAGGAGAAGCGGCGGCUGCAGGAGCGGAUCCGCGCCGCACGCCGCGAGCUGGAGGAGGAGAAGCUGCGCGUGCAGCGGCUCAAGGUGCGGGCGCCGCCCGGGCUUCUCCCACAUCGGAGCGUGGGUGCGGUGGCCGUGGGGGCGACUGUCGUGUCCCAGUUCCGGGGGGCCCGGUCAGCUUUGGGUCGGGGUCCCCAGCGUGGCGGUGGGGCACUGGCUUCUCCGCCCCUUCGGAAGCCGGGGGGCCGGGGCGGGGCGCCCCAGAGUCCGCGAGGCUGCUGGGCGCGCGGGGUGCACGGGCGGGGCGCACGGGGUGCACCGCGGGAGCCCAGCGCGGCUCCUCCUGUGCGCAGAGGAAAUCCCUGCGCGAGCGCUGGCUGAUGGACGGCGCCGCGGAGACCCCGCAGCAGCCCGGGGACCCCGCCGCCCAGGAUCCCCAGUCACCCGAGGGCCAGGCCCAGACUCGCAUCCGCAGCCUGGAGGACAGCUUGUUCACGUGAGCGCAGCUCCUGGCCGGGGCGGGGGACGCGGAGGGCGCCCGGGUCCCCUCCCAGCUGCGCCCUCUCUCCGCAGGCUCCAGGCCCAGCUGCAGCUGUUGCAGAGCGCGUCCGCGGGCGCGCAGCCCCGAUCCCCGGCCAGGCCCGCCUGGCGCAGGCAGGGUCACCGGCCUCUCUCCCAGCCCGCCAUGGAGACAGGUCCUGCAGGUGAGUAUCGGCGGCCUCGGGUCUGGGGCUCAGGUCACCCCCAGACUGCACAGCCUGCCGGUCAUCCUCACCACCUCCUCCCCCUUCUCUCCUCUCUGGUUCCAUUAGGUCAGGCGGAUGUGGACAAGAGAGCGUCCCUGCCGGUGGGGCCCACGGGUUUGUUCCUAGAGUCCCACUCUGAGCCCAGAGAGGGGGCCCCCGGGCAGGUCCCUGGGGCAGGAGGGUACCCUCAAGAAGCCAACGGCCCCUGCUCGGGGCCCAGCCCUCCUCAGGAGCAGCGGCAGAGCCCGGGGCCAGGGACCACAGCGGAGGGGGACACUGCAAAGGCCCGAGCUGGGAAUGUGGUGGAGGUGGUGUGGGAGGGGCUCCGGGGGCCCCAGGACUGUGUCACAGGUGCUACCGGCCCGGAGUUGGAGGCCAGGGUGGAGCAAGUGGUGUUGGAGGCCUUGAGGGACAGACAGGGGCCCGGCAGCCCCGAGCUCCCUGCCUGGGCACAAGAGAACAGGGGUGUGGUGGAGGUGGUCUGGGAGGGGCUGGGGGGCCGUGACCCUGAGGCCCUGGGUGGUGUGGGCCCAGGGCUCCAGGAACGCCUGGGGGGUGAGGGGUCCCCAGACAGGGAGCCCAACAGGCAGGCAGGACCCGCUGGGGAUGCGGGUUCCUUCAUCUGGGUGGAGAGGGUGACGGUGGGGGAGGAUUGGGAGGAGCUGCUGAUGGAGGGGCUCGAGGGACCCGUGGAGGCUG